rnacentral:rRNA from 1 species
UACGUAGGGGGCAAGCGUUGUCCGGAAUCAUUGGGCGUAAAGCGCGUGUAGGCGGCCAGAAAAGUCCGCUGUGAAAACUCGAGGCUCAACUUCGAGCUGUCGGUGGAAACUUUCUGGCUAGAGUCCGGAAGAGGAGAAUGGAAUUCCUGGUGUAGCGGUGAAAUGCGCAGAUAUCAGGAGGAACACCGGUGGCGAAGGCGGUUCUCUGGGAAUAUCCUGACGCUGAGGAGCGAAAGUGUGGGGAGCGAACAGG